rnacentral:rRNA from 1 species
CAAGCGUGAGGUAAGGGCAUCUGGUGAAUGCCUUGGCAUGUACAGGCGAUGAAGGACGUGGCACGCUGCGAUAAGCGUGGGGGAGCUGUGAGCAAGCUUUGAUCCCGCGAUUUCCGAAUGGGAUAACCCACCUUCACCAUUUAAGACUGGUCCAGAGUAAUCUGGCCCCGUGUUAAAUGGGAGAGGUAUCACUAAGCUGAAUAAAAUAGGCUUUGGUGAAGCGAACCCGGGGAACUGAAACAUCUCAGUACCUGGAGGAAAAGACAUCAACCGAGAUUCCGUUAGUAGUGGCGAGCGAACGCGGACCAGGCCAGUGCCUGUUGUUUAGUUAGCAGAACAUUCUGGAAAGUUUGACCAUAGCGGGUGACAGUCCCGUAUGCGAAAGCGAAACAACAGGACUUGAGUAGGGCGGGGCACGUGAAACCCUGUCUGAACAUGGGGGGACCACCCUCCAAGCCUAAAUACUCGUACAUGACCGAUAGCGAACCAGUACCGUGAGGGAAAGGUGAAAAGCACCCCGAUGAGGGGAGUGAAACAGUACCUGAAACCGGAUGCCUACAAGCAGUGGGAGGGUCCUUGAGACCUGACCGCGUACCUCUUGCAUAAUGGGUCUGUGACUUAGUGUAUCAUGCAAGCUUAAGCCGUUAGGUGUAGGCGCAGCGAAAGCGAGUCUGAACAGGGCGACAGAGUAUGAUGCAUUAGACCCGAAACCCGGCGAUCUAUGCAUGACCAGGUUGAAGGUGCGGUAACACGCACUGGAGGACCGAACCGUUUAAUGUUGAAAAAUUAUCGGAUGAGUUGUGCUUAGGGGUGAAAGGCCAAUCAAGCCGGGAAAUAGCUGGUUCUCCGCGAAAUCUAUUGAGGUAGAGCGUCGGAUGAUUGCCGUUGGGGGUAGAGCACUGGAUGGAUGCGGGGGUCGCGAGAUCUACCAACUCUAACCAAACUCCGAAUACCAACGAGUCUAGUCCGGCAGACAGACGGCGGGUGCUAAGGUCCGUCGUCAAAAGGGAAACAGCCCUAACCUACAGCUAAGGUCCCCAAGUCAUCACUAAGUGGGAAAGCAUGUGGGAUUUCCAAAACAACCAGGAGGUUGGCUUAGAAGCAGCCAUCCUUUAAAGAAAGCGUAACAGCUCACUGGUCUAAAUAAGAGAUCCUGCGGCGAAGAUGUAACGGGGCUAAAGUGAUGCACCGAAGCUUAGGGUGUGCAGUUUACUGCACGCGGUAGCGGAGCGUUCCGUAGGCCGUUGAAGCGAUCUGGUAAUGGGUCGUGGAGGUAUCGGAAGUGCGAAUGCAGACAUGAGUAGCGAUUAACAGUGUGAGAUGCACUGUCGCCGAAAUUCCAAGGGUUCCUGCUUAAAGCUAAUCUGAGCAGGGUAAGCCGGCCCCUAAGACGAGCCCGAAGGGGGUAGUCGAUGGGAACCACGUUAAUAUUCGUGGGCCUGGAGGUGUGUGACGGAUGGCGUAACUUGUCUGGCCUUAUUGGAUUGGUCCAGGCAGGGAAGUUGUCCCAGGAAAUAGCCCCUCCGUAUAGACCGUACCCUAAACCGACACAGGUGGAAUGGUAGAGUAUACCAAGGCGUUUGAGAGAAGUAUCCUGAAGGAACUCGGCAAAUUGCCUCCGUACCUUCGGAAGAAGGAGGCCCCACAUCAAGGCAACUUUUUGUGGGGGGCACAGGCCAGGGGGUAGCGACUGUUUAGCAAAAACACAGGGCUCUGCUAAGUCGGCUUCAAGACGACGUAUAGGGCCUGACGCCUGCCCGGUGCCUGAAGGUUAAGAGGAGGUGUGCAAGCACUGAAUUGAAGCCCAGGUAAACGGCGGCCGUAACUAUAACGGUCCUAAGGUAGCGAAAUUCCUUGUCGGGUAAGUUCCGACCUGCACGAAUGGCGUAACGACUUCCCCACUGUCUCCAGGAUAUGCUCAGCGAAAUUGAAUUCUCCGUGAAGAUGCGGAGUACCCGCGGUUAGACGGAAAGACCCCGUGCACCUUUACUGCAGCUUCAGAGUGGCAUUAGGAAAGAACUGUGUAGCAUAGGUGGGAGGCUUUGAAGCCAGGUCGCCAGAUCUGGUGGAGCCAUAGGUGAAAUACCACCCUGUUGUUUUCUGAUGUCUAACCUCGCACCGUUAUCCGGUGCAGGGACCCUCUGUGGCGGGUAGUUUGACUGGGGCGGUCGCCUCCUAAAGAGUAACGGAGGCGCGCGAUGGUGGGCUCAGGACGGUUGGAAACCGUCUGUUAGAGUGCAAUGGCAUAAGCCCGCCUGACUGCGAGACUGACAAGUCGAGCAGAGACGAAAGUCGGUCAUAGUGAUCCGGUGGUCCCUCGUGGAAGGGCCAUCGCUCAACGGAUAAAAGGUACGCCGGGGAUAACAGGCUGAUGAUUCCCAAGAGCUCAUAUCGACGGAAUCGUUUGGCACCUCGAUGUCGGCUCAUCACAUCCUGGGGCUGGAGCAGGUCCCAAGGGUUUGGCUGUUCGCCAAUUAAAGUGGUACGUGAGCUGGGUUCAGAACGUCGCGAGACAGUUUGGUCCCUAUCUGCCGUGGGCGUCGAAAUUUGAGAGGAGUUGACCCUAGUACGAGAGGACCGGGUUGAACAUACCUCUGGUGUACCUGUCGUCCUGCCAAGGGCGCAGCAGGGUAGCUAUGUAUGGACGGGAUAACCGCUGAAAGCAUCUAAGCGGGAAGCCUCCCUCAAGAUAAGAUUUCUUCGAGCGGUCGUAGACCACGACCUUGAUAGGCCGGAUGUAGAAGUGUGGUAACAUAUGGAGCUAACCGGUCCUAAUUGCUCUGAUCGCGCCUGAGAGUCCCACCAUCAAUGACAAUG